rnacentral:misc_RNA from 1 species
AUUCAAAUUAACUAGAAUGGUAAAUGAAAACAAAUUGCAAUACUGCAAGUGUAAAAUGUAAAAUUGUGUAUAAAACUUACAGCAAACAUUAUACACUCAACAACACUAGAAUUACAACACAAAUAAAAAAGAACUCGUGACCCAACCCCACCAACAGAUAUGUUUUUCACUUCAUUGUGACAGCAUUGACAAUUUAACCAGUCAUAUGAAUGUGCAUAAAAUUUUCAAGGAAAGUUUGUCCAACCAUCCUUCCACAUUAUAUUACUGAUCAUCUGGUCAUCAGAUAAAUGAGAAUUAUAAGUAUGAACUAUAGUGCUUUUUCAGAUAAAUGAAAUGGAGAAUUUUGCCUAAAUCAGCACUAAAAAUCAUGUAGCAGCAAUAUUAAAUGAAAAUUACAAGGUCUACUGGCAUUACAUAAUGCAGAAUGAUAUGAUUAUCAUAACGGAUGUGAA